UACAGAGGUCUCAAGCGUUGUUCGGAUUCAUUGGGCGUAAAGGGUGUGUAGGUGGCGCGCUAAGUCGGGUGUGCAAUUUCGGAGCUUAACUCCGAAACUGCAUUCGAUACUGGCGUGCUUGAGGACUGGAGAGGAGACUGGAAUUCAUGGUGUAGCAGUGAAAUGCGUAGAGAUCAUGAGGAAGACCAGUGGCGAAGGCGGGUCUCUGGACAGUUCCUGACACUGAGGAGCGAAAGCCAGGGGAGCAAACGGG
rnacentral:rRNA from 1 species